AGAGUUUGAUCCUGGCUCAGAUUGAACGCUGGCGGCAUGCCUUACACAUGCAAGUCGAACGGUAACAGGUCUUCGGAUGCUGACGAGUGGCGAACGGGUGAGUAAUACAUCGGAACGUGCCUAGUAGUGGGGGAUAACUACUCGAAAGAGUAGCUAAUACCGCAUGAGAUCUACGGAUGAAAGCAGGGGAUCGCAAGACCUUGUGCUACUAGAGCGGCUGAUGGCAGAUUAGGUAGUUGGUGGGAUAAAAGCUUACCAAGCCGACGAUCUGUAGCUGGUCUGAGAGGACGAUCAGCCACACUGGGACUGAGACACGGCCCAGACUCCUACGGGAGGCAGCAGUGGGGAAUUUUGGACAAUGGGCGAAAGCCUGAUCCAGCAAUGCCGCGUGCAGGAUGAAGGCCUUCGGGUUGUAAACUGCUUUUGUACGGAACGAAAAGCUUCGGGUUAAUACCCUGGAGUCAUGACGGUACCGUAAGAAUAAGCACCGGCUAACUACGUGCCAGCAGCCGCGGUAAUACGUAGGGUGCAAGCGUUAAUCGGAAUUACUGGGCGUAAAGCGUGCGUAGGCGGUUUGUCGCGUCGUCUGUGAAAACCCGCAGCUCAACUGCGGGCUUGCAGGCGAUACGGGCAGACUCGAGUACUGCAGGGGAGACUGGAAUUCCUGGUGUAGCGGUGAAAUGCGCAGAUAUCAGGAGGAACACCGGUGGCGAAGGCGGGUCUCUGGGCAGUAACUGACGCUGAGGAGCGAAAGCGUGGGUAGCGAACAGGAUUAGAUACCCUGGUAGUUCACGCCGUAAACGGUG
rnacentral:rRNA from 1 species